CUUGGAAGCCACUGUCAAACUCUGCAAGCAUCUUAAUUGCAUGGACUUGAUCAAGUACUAAUUUCCCAGCUGGAUUCCCAUCUUUCUGCAGCUUAUCUUCUUUUUUUACUUCUUUUUCUUAGGUGUUUUACAAGGCAUAGGACACUUUACCUCCAUGAUGUGGACUAAGCUCUUGUUUUCUAAAGUUUAUGGUUUGCAGGGAGGCAAAGUGAGAGCACUUCUGGGCAGCUGGAAUUCAUGGCAGAAGACGUGGCUGCAUAAAUGCUGCUCUGCUUCGACAUGAACUCAAAAAAGACUGUAAGAAUUACCUGUUCUUACCUGGCAAGGGAAAAGGAGAAAGAAAAGUGAGCUGCCAGCAACCAUUCUCCUUUGCAGUCCCAGAAAGGGAUAGUCUUGCCAUUUUAAAAAGUAGACUCUAGUCUUAAGAAGCUCUCAGUAACUUCUAGAGAGCCAAAACAGGUAAUAAUGUUAAGAAUUAAUAGUAGGAUGCUCCCAAUGUUUCUUAAGUUUAAUGAUGGAACUAGAAGUGGUGAUCUGAAUUGCAGAUGGUAGUCGUUCUUUCCUCUCUGAUUUGGCUUUGAUAGUUCCUUUGAUGUAGAAGAACUGUGAGCUUAAUUUGCAUAACAUUACUCCCACUCUUAUCAGUCUGCUGAUGAGAUAUCUUUAUUAAAUUUUUCACUAUUUCAGGAUUAUUUAAAUAUUUUCUGAUUUUAUAGUGAUAUUCUGCUUUACUACAUAGGGAGCCUACUGAUAAACAUCUGGUACCUUAUGAAUUUUGAUAGCUUUAGUAUGGUAUUUUAAAUUUUUCUCCUGUUACAAAUUACUCCACUCCAUCAGAAAUUACUACCAUUCUUAAUUGACAUGCAAUGUCUUUUCAGGAAAUGGCAACUGGAGAUGAUUAAAUGAGUACCAGAAUAAAAAGUAUGAACAAGUUCAAUUGAAUAUCUCCAAAAAAAUCUUUUCAUGCUGGGCAAAAAAGAAUAAUAAAGAUGUGUUUUGAUUUUAAAGAAGAACCAGUUUUUGUCCAGAAAAUAAAUAAAGUUUUUUGAAACUCAGUUAAACAUGAAAUGCACAGUUGCUAUUCUUAUUUUCCUUAAUUUAUACAGUUAUACUACAAUAAAACAUCACUCAGUUC